CCUACGGGUGGCAGCAGUAGGGAAUCUUCCACAAUGGGCGAAAGCCUGAUGGAGCAACGCCGCGUGGGUGAAGAAUGUCUUCGGAUCGUAAAACCCUUUUUGUAGAGAAGAAAGUGCGUGAGAGUAACUGUUCACGGUUCGACGGUAUCUAACCAGACAGCUACGGCUAACUACGUGCCAGCAGCCGCGGUAAUACGUAGGUGGCAAGCGUUAUCCGGAUUUAUUGGGCGUAAAGGGGACGCAUGCGGUCUUUUAAGUCUGAUGUGAAAGCCUUCGGCUUAACCGGCGUAGUGCAUUGGAAAAUGGGGAACUUGAGUGCAGAAGAGGAGAGUGGAACGCCAUGUGUAGCGGUGAAAUGCGUAGAUAUAUGGCAGAACACCAGUGGCGAAAGCGGCUCACUGGUCUGUAACUGACGCUGAGGUUCGAAAGCGUGGGUAGCAAACAGGAUUAGAUACCCUUGUAGUC
rnacentral:rRNA from 1 species